CAUCCUCCAAGGCUAAAUACUCCUGACUGACCGAUAGUGAACCAGUACCGUGAGGGAAAGGCGAAAAGAACCCCGGCGAGGGGAGUGAAAAAGAACCUGAAACCGUGUACGUACAAGCAGUGGGAGCCCCACCACUAAGCCAGUGGUGAACUCCACAUACGCAUCCUUUGCUGAGGAUACGGUUAACGGAGCGAAAGCGACGUUCAACCGCAAAAGAAGCAGAGGGGGCUUAGUGGUGGGGUGACUGCGUACCUUUUGUAUAAUGGGUCAGCGACUUAUAUUCUGUAGCAAGGUUAACCGUAUAGGGGAGCCGGAGGGAAACCGAGUCUUAACCGGGCGUUAAGUUGCAGGGUAUAGACCCGAAACCCGGUGAUCUAGCCAUGGGCAGGUUGAAGGUUGGGUAACACUAACUGGAGGACCGAACCGACUAAUGUUGAAAAAUUAGCGGAUGACCUGUGGCUGGGGGUGAAAGGCCAAUCAAACCGGGAGAUAGCUGGUUCUCCCCGAAAGCUAUUUAGGUAGCGCCUCGUGAAUUCAUCUCCGGGGGUAGAGCACUGUUUCGGCUAGGGGGCCAUCCCGGCUUACCAACCCGAUGCAAACUGCGAAUACCGGAGAAUGUUAUCACGGGAGACACACGGCGGGUGCUAACGUCCGUCGUGAAGAGGGAAACAACCCAGACCGCCAGCUAAGGUCCCAAAGUCAUGGUUAAGUGGGAAACGAUGUGGGAAGGCCCAGACAGCCAGGAUGUUGGCUUAGAAGCAGCCAUCAUUUAAAGAAAGCGUAAUAGCUCACUGGUCGAGUCGGCCUGCGCGGAAGAUGUAACGGGGCUAAACCAUGCACCGAAGCUGCGGCAGCGA
rnacentral:rRNA from 1 species